UCUACCUUAGAUUCUUCUGGGGUUCUGUGAAAAUGAAAAAAAUUUUCCGCCUUAGAGAUCCAACUAGUCGGAUCUCCAUCUUUCCAUCUCGGAAAUUCCACAUUCAUGUGUGAGUAGUUUAUGUCACAAUCUUGGGCCUCAUUUCUUGUAUUUUCUGAUCUAUGCAACGUAGAACUUGAGCUCCUAUCUUGUUGAAAUUUGUUGAGGCUCUCC
rnacentral:lncRNA from 1 species